AUUGAACGCUGGCGGCAUGCCUUACACAUGCAAGUCGAACGGCAGCGCGGGCUUCGGCCUGGCGGCGAGUGGCGAACGGGUGAGUAAUACAUCGGAACGUGCCCUAGAGUGGGGGAUAACUAGUCGAAAGAUUAGCUAAUACCGCAUACGAUCUACGGAUGAAAGUGGGGGACCGCAAGGCCUCAUGCUCCUGGAGCGGCCGAUGUCUGAUUAGCUAGUUGGUGGGGUAAAAGCCUACCAAGGCGACGAUCAGUAGCUGGUCUGGGAGGACGACCAGCCACACUGGGACUGAGACACGGCCCAGACUCCUACGGGAGGCAGCAGUGGGGAAUUUUGGACAAUGGGGGAAACCCUGAUCCAGCAAUGCCGCGUGUGUGAAGAAGGCCUUCGGGUUGUAAAGCACUUUUGUCAGGAACGAAACGGUGGGGGCUAAUAUCCUCUGCUAAUGACGGUACCUGAAGAAUAAGCACCGGCUAACUACGUGCCAGCAGCCGCAGUAA
rnacentral:rRNA from 1 species